rnacentral:rRNA from 1 species
UCCCGCCGGACCUGACUGCUAUCGGAUUGAUACUAAGCCAUGCGAGUCUUUGUAGUAAUACAAGGCAGACGGCUCAGUAACACGUAGUCAACCUACCCUAUGGACAAGAAUAAUCUCGGGAAACUGGGCAUAAUUCUUGAUAGAUCAUAAUGCCUGGAAUGGUUUAUGGUUAAAAUGAUUCGUCGCCAUAGGAUGGGACUGCGGCCUAUCAGCUUGUUGGUGAGGUAAUGGCCCACCAAGGCGAUUACAGGUACGGGCUCUGAGAGGAGAAGCCCGGAGAUGGGUACUGAGACACGGACCCAGGCCCUAUGGGGCGCAGCAGGCGAGAAAACUUUGCAAUGUGCGAAAGCACGACAAGGUUAAUCCGAGUGAUUUCUGCUAAAGAAAUCUUUUGUCAGUCGUAAAACCACUGGCGAAUAAGGGGUGGGCAAGUUCUGGUGUCAGCCGCCGCGGUAAAACCAGCACCUCAAGUGGUCAGGAUGAUUAUUGGGCCUAAAGCAUCCGUAGCCGGCUUUGUAAGUUUUCGGUUAAAUCCAUGUGCUCAACGCAUGGGCUGCCGAAAAUACUGCAUGGCUAGGGAGUGGGAGAGGUAGACGGUACUCAGUAGGAAGGGGUAAAAUCCUUUGAUCUAUUGAUGACCACCUGUGGCGAAGGCGGUCUACCAGAACACGUUCGACGGUGAGGGAUGAAAGCUGGGGGAGCAAACCGGAUUAGAUACCCGGGUAGUCCCAGCCGUAAACGAUGCAGACUCGAUGAUGCAUUGGCAUAAUAGCCAAUGCAGUGUCGCAGGGAAGCCGUUAAGUCUGCCGCCUGGGAAGUACGUACGCAAGUAUGAAACUUAAAGGAAUUGGCGGGGGAGCACCACAAG